AGAGUUUGAUCCUGGCUCAGGAUGAACGCUAGCUACAGGCUUAACACAUGCAAGUCGAGGGGAAACGAUAUUGGAAGCUUGCUUCCGAUAGGCGUCGACCGGCGCACGGGUGAGUAACGCGUAUCCAACCUGCCCACCACUUGGGGAUAACCUUGCGAAAGUAAGACUAAUACCCAAUGACGUCUCUAGAAGACAUCUGAAAGAGAUUAAAGAUUUAUCGGUGAUGGAUGGGGAUGCGUCUGAUUAGCUUGUUGGCGGGGUAACGGCCCACCAAGGCGACGAUCAGUAGGGGUUCUGAGAGGAAGGUCCCCCACAUUGGAACUGAGACACGGUCCAAACUCCUACGGGAGGCAGCAGUGAGGAAUAUUGGUCAAUGGACGAGAGUCUGAACCAGCCAAGUAGCGUGCAGGAUGACGGCCCUAUGGGUUGUAAACUGCUUUUAUAAGGGAAUAAAGUGAGUCUCGUGAGACUUUUUGCAUGUACCUUAUGAAUAAGGACCGGCUAAUUCCGUGCCAGCAGCCGCGGUAAUACGGAAGGUCCGGGCGUUAUCCGGAUUUAUUGGGUUUAAAGGGAGCGUAGGCCGGAGAUUAAGCGUGUUGUGAAAUGUAGACGCUCAACGUCUGCACUGCAGCGCGAACUGGUUUCCUUGAGUACGCACAAAGUGGGCGGAAUUCGUGGUGUAGCGGUGAAAUGCUUAGAUAUCACGAAGAACUCCGAUUGCGAAGGCAGCUCACUGGACUGCAACUGACACUGAUGCUCGAAAGUGUGGGUAUCAAACAGGAUUAGAUACCCUGGUAGUCCACACAGUAAACGAUGAAUACUCGCUGUUUGCGAUAUACAGUAAGCGGCCAAGCGAAAGCAUUAAGUAUUCCACCUGGGGAGUACGCCGGCAACGGUGAAACUCAAAGGAAUUGACGGGGGC
rnacentral:rRNA from 1 species